AUAUAAUUUGAGAGAACUUAGGUACACAUGGCGUGAGGACAUUGUCCUAUUCCACGUGGCGAUUUAUGGAUGCUUUGGGACUCUCAGAUCUCUUUAUGAAACUUUCUCUCUCUACCAUCUCUCAUCCUUUCUCCCACUCUCUCUCCCCUCUUACACUAUUUAAUUCGAGAGAACUCAGGUACACGUGGCGUGAGGACAUUGUCCUAUUCCACGUGGCGAUUUAUGGAUGCUUUGGGACUCACAGAUCUCUUUAUGAAACUUUCUCUCUCUACCAUCUCUCAUCCUCUCUUCCACUCUCUCUCCCCUCUUACACUAUUUAAUUUGAGAAAACUCAGGUACACGUGGCGUGAGGACAUUGUCUUAUUCCACGUGGCGAUUUAUGGAUGCUUUGGGACUCCCAGAUCUCUUUAUGAAACUUUCUCUCUCUAGCAUCUCUCCUCCUCUCUCCCACUCUCUCUCCCCCCAACCUAUUUCGUCAACCCAUAUCCUCUCUCUCUCUCUUCCCCUCUCCUCUUCUUUCCUUCUCUCUCUUUCCCAAGAUGGCUCCCCCACUCUCUCGCCUUCCUCCAGCUAUCCCCAUUCUCUCUCUCUUCCCCACUCCAGCUGUCCUCCACUCUCUUUCUCUCCCUCCCCUACUCCCUCUCUCUUUUAUGUCCCUCUUUCCAACUCUAUCUUUCUGUCUCAUUGAAAACCCUUUCGUGCAG
rnacentral:lncRNA from 1 species